rnacentral:rRNA from 1 species
CCCUUAGAUGUUCGGGGCCGCACGCGCGCUACACUGAAAGAAUCAGCUGGUAAGUUGCUCCUGGCUUGGAAACGUCGGGCAACCCGUUGAACCUCCUUCGUGCUUGGGAUUGGGGCUUGCAAUUAUUCCCCAUGAACGAGGAAUUCCCAGUAGGCGCGAGUCAUCAGCUCGCGUCGAUUACGUCCCUGCCCUUUGUACACACCGCCCGUCGCUCCUACCGAUUGAGUGGUCCGGUGAGGCUUUGGGAUCUGAGCGGAAAGAGCGUUUCGCUGUUUCUGCUCGGAAAACUCAGUCGAACCUUAUCAUUUAGAGGAAGGAGAAGUCGUAACA